rnacentral:rRNA from 1 species
UACGGGGGGGGCAAGCGUUGUUCGGAAUUACUGGGCGUAAAGGGCUCGUAGGCGGCCAACUAAGUCGGAUGUGAAAUCCCCAGGCUUAACCUGGGAACUGCAUCCGAUACUGGAUGGCUUGAAUUCGGGAGAGGGAUGCAGAAUUCCAGGUGUAGCGGUGAAAUGCGUAGAUAUCUGGAGGAAUACCGGUGGCGAAGGCGGCAUCCUGGACCGGCAUUGACGCUGAGGCGCGAAAGCCAGGGGAGCAAACGGG